UUCCUACGGGAGGCAGCAGUGGGGAAUUUUGGACAAUGGGCGCAAGCCUGAUCCAGCUAUUCCGCGUGUGGGAUGAAGGCCCUCGGGUUGUAAACCACUUUUGUAGAGAACGAAAAGACACCUUCGAAUAAAGGGUGUUGCUGACGGUACUCUAAGAAUAAGCACCGGCUAACUACGUGCCAGCAGCCGCGGUAAUACGUAGGGGGCAAGCGUUAUCCGGAUUUACUGGGUGUAAAGGGGGCGCAGACGGCAGCGCAAGCCAGGAGUGAAAGCCCGGGGCCCCACCCCGGGACUGCUCUUGGAAC
rnacentral:rRNA from 1 species